rnacentral:rRNA from 1 species
UUUAUGGAGAGUUUGAUCCUGGCUCAGGAUGAACGCUGGCGGCGUGCCUAAUACAUGCAAGUCGAGCGAACGGACGAGAAGCUUGCUUCUCUGAUGUUAGCGGCGGACGGGUGAGUAACACGUGGAUAACCUACCUAUAAGACUGGGAUAACUUCGGGAAACCGGAGCUAAUACCGGAUAAUAUUUUGAACCGCAUGGUUCAAAAGUGAAAGACGGUCUUGCUGUCACUUAUAGAUGGAUCCGCGCUGCAUUAGCUAGUUGGUAAGGUAACGGCUUACCAAGGCAACGAUGCAUAGCCGACCUGAGAGGGUGAUCGGCCACACUGGAACUGAGACACGGUCCAGACUCCUACGGGAGGCAGCAGUAGGGAAUCUUCCGCAAUGGGCGAAAGCCUGACGGAGCAACGCCGCGUGAGUGAUGAAGGUCUUCGGAUCGUAAAACUCUGUUAUUAGGGAAGAACAUAUGUGUAAGUAACUGUGCACAUCUUGACGGUACCUAAUCAGAAAGCCACGGCUAACUACGUGCCAGCAGCCGCGGUAAUACGUAGGUGGCAAGCGUUAUCCGGAAUUAUUGGGCGUAAAGCGCGCGUAGGCGGUUUUUUAAGUCUGAUGUGAAAGCCCACGGCUCAACCGUGGAGGGUCAUUGGAAACUGGAAAACUUGAGUGCAGAAGAGGAAAGUGGAAUUCCAUGUGUAGCGGUGAAAUGCGCAGAGAUAUGGAGGAACACCAGUGGCGAAGGCGACUUUCUGGUCUGUAACUGACGCUGAUGUGCGAAAGCGUGGGGAUCAAACAGGAUUAGAUACCCUGGUAGUCCACGCCGUAAACGAUGAGUGCUAAGUGUUAGGGGGUUUCCGCCCCUUAGUGCUGCAGCUAACGCAUUAAGCACUCCGCCUGGGGAGUACGACCGCAAGGUUGAAACUCAAAGGAAUUGACGGGGACCCGCACAAGCGGUGGAGCAUGUGGUUUAAUUCGAAGCAACGCGAAGAACCUUACCAAAUCUUGACAUCCUUUGACAACUCUAGAGAUAGAGCCUUCCCCUUCGGGGGACAAAGUGACAGGUGGUGCAUGGUUGUCGUCAGCUCGUGUCGUGAGAUGUUGGGUUAAGUCCCGCAACGAGCGCAACCCUUAAGCUUAGUUGCCAUCAUUAAGUUGGGCACUCUAAGAUGACUGCCGGUGACAAACCGGAGGAAGGUGGGGAUGACGUCAAAUCAUCAUGCCCCUUAUGAUUUGGGCUACACACGUGCUACAAUGGACAAUACAAAGGGCAGCGAAACCGCGAGGUCAAGCAAAUCCCAUAAAGUUGUUCUCAGUUCGGAUUGUAGUCUGCAACUCGACUACAUGAAGCUGGAAUCGCUAGUAAUCGUAGAUCAGCAUGCUACGGUGAAUACGUUCCCGGGUCUUGUACACACCGCCCGUCACACCACGAGAGUUUGUAACACCCGAAGCCGGUGGAGUAACCUUUUAGGAGCUAGCCGUCGAAGGUGGGACAAAUGAUUGGGGUGAAGUCGUAACAAGGUAGCCGUAUCGGAAGGUGCGGCUGGAUCACCUCCUUUCU